UAGAUGUCGCUGUAGAUUUAGCAGUACAUUACUGUAAAAAUCCACAGUACUAUACUGUAUGUAUACAUUACAGUACAGUACUGCAGUUCAUAAUGCAUUCUGGGUAAAUUUGUUUGAGCGGGAAAAUUUUACAGUAUAUUUUGGUCUUGAUGUAACCUUGCUGUAGCCAUUGCUGUAAUGUGCCAGGUGUACUUGCAAUAAUCAGAGAAAGUGCGCCAGAGUCAAAUCACACAGAGGGAGAGAGAGCACAACUCCUGGCUGCAGCUGAAGGAGGACGAUUGAUUUCUGGCAGUUCGUCUUACCAUUGCUUGUAAGCUGGAUUGGGUAAGAUGGAUCAUCUUUAAAGGCACCAGGAGUUAAGGCAGAUGUGGAGGCACAACGGGUGAUACCAGACACACACCAAGCACAUUAUGUUCGGACAUUCAAUCAUGACAGGAUCCAGGUGGAUGCUGUCCAUUGAUGAAAGAGUUUGUUCCGAGGUUUCUGGAUAGAAUUAAUUCCAAAGAUGGGAAAAAGUGCACAUCCAGACAAGGAGCAAGCAAAAAGACAAGGAACUUGGUGCAGAGAAAAGCUGUGGCCAUUAACCCCCAUGUGAACAGCUUCAUGCAGUCCCUGAUUGAGUUCGAAUGGACGACUUCAAAGUAAAGGCCACUGUGGUCUGUCUGCCACAGUUUAAUUUUUAAUUUAUUUUUAGUGUUCAAUGAAAUUCAAGUAGAAUAUUUAAAACUAUGGGCCAGUGUUCUUUUUACCACAGUGAAAUGUUACCUUUUAGUCGAUGAUGGACUUUAAACUGAAAACUUCAAACUAUGGACCAGUGUUCUAUUUGCCAGAGUUAAAUAUGUUACAGCAGGGGUCU